AGAGUUUGAUCAUGGCUCAGGACGAACGCUGGCGGCGUGCCUAACACAUGCAAGUCUGGGAGAAUUGGGUAGCAAUAUCCAUAGUAAACCGGCGCACGGGUGAGUAAUAUAUAGGUAAUAUGCCUUUUGGUUUGGAAUAACCCCGCGAAAGCGGGGCUAAUACCGAAUGAUGCAGCGGCUCCGCAUGGAGAUGUUGUUAAAGCUUCGGCGCCAAAAGAUUAACCUGUAUCCCAUUAGAUAGUUGGCGAGGUAACGGCUCACCAAGUCUGCGAUGGGUAGCUGAUCUGAGAGGAUGAUCAGCCACACUGGAACUGAGACACGGUCCAGACUCCUACGGGAGGCAGCAGUGAGGAAUAUUGCGCAAUGGAGGAAACUCUGACGCAGCGACGCCGCGUGAAGGAUGAAGGCCCUCUGGGUUGUAAACUUCUGUAGAGAGGGAAGAAUUUUUCGCUUCGCGAAAUUGACGGUACCUCUAAAGUAAGGGUCGGCUAACUACGUGCCAGCAGCCGCGGUAAUACGUAGGACCCAAGCGUUGUCCGGAUUUACUGGGUGUAAAGGGAGCGCAGGCGGAUUUUCAAGUCGAUGGUGAAAUCUUGCGGCUCAACCGCAAAACAGCCGUCGAUACUGUUAAUCUUGAGUGUGGAAGAGAGUGGCGGAAUUCAUGGUGUAGCAGUGAAAUGCGUAGAUAUCAUGAAGAACACCGGUUGCGAAGGC
rnacentral:rRNA from 1 species